rnacentral:rRNA from 1 species
GAUGAACGCUGGCGGCGUGCCUAAUACAUGCAAGUCGAACGCUUCACUUCGGUGAAGAGUGGCGAACGGGUGAGUAAUACAUAAGUAACCUGGCAUCUACAGGGGGAUAACUGAUGGAAACGUCAGCUAAGACCGCAUAGGUGUAGAGAUCGCAUGAACUCUAUAUGAAAAGUGCUACGGGACUGGUAGAUGAUGGACUUAUGGCGCAUUAGCUUGUUGGUAGGGUAACGGCCUACCAAGGCGACGAUGCGUAGCCGACCUGAGAGGGUGACCGGCCACACUGGGACUGAGACACGGCCCAGACUCCUACGGGAGGCAGCAGUAGGGAAUUUUCGGCAAUGGGGGGAACCCUGACCGAGUAACGCCGCGUGAAGGAAGAAGUAAUUCGUUAUGUAAACUUCUGUCAUAGAGGAAGAACGGUGGAUAUAGGGAAUGAUAUCCAAGUGACGGUACUCUAUAAGAAAGCCACGGCUAACUACGUG